UACGUAGGGUGCGAGCGUUAAUCGGAAUUACUGGGCGUAAAGCGUGCGCAGGCGGUUCGUUGUGUCGGCGGUGAAAGCCCCGGGCUUAACCUGGGAAUGGCCGUUGAAACUGGCGAACUGGAGUGUGGCAGAGGGGGGUGGAAUUCCUGGUGUAGCGGUGAAAUGCGCAGAUAUCAGGAGGAACACCAAUGGCGAAGGCAGCUCGCUGGGACGGUACUGACGCUGAGGCGCGAAAGCGUGGGGAGCAAACAGG
rnacentral:rRNA from 1 species